rfam:Oryza rufipogon genomic scaffold, chr07
UUUAAGUGCAACCUUAAGUUUCUGUGCCCAACUAUGAUCGCCCGUCUUAUUUGAAAUUUUUUUAUAAUUAGUAUUUUUAUUAUUAUGAGAUGAUAAAACAUGAACAGUACUUUAUACGUAACUCAUGUUUUUAAUUUUUUUCAAAAAAUUUUCAAAUACGGCUAAAGUUUUGCACGGAAAUUCCCGGAUGCACUUAUA